GCAGAAGAUUUAGAUGAUGAAUAAUAUAACAAACAGACACCACAAUUCUUCACCUUUACUCCUGGCUGGAAAGAAUGAAAUGACAACUCAAUGUUGCUAAAGGAUCCAUGCUGCCAUUCUUUAAGCUCUUUAAGGUAAUCAAAAGAUAGAUAGAAUAGCCAAAUAUGAUCUGACAGAACUUGGAUAGAGUUACAACUAAUACACAUCAGCGAAGGAUAAUUCUCUCUUCCAUUGGCUUUGAAAUCACA